rnacentral:lncRNA from 1 species
ACCGACGCAGAGAAGCAGAGAUGGGAAGUUCCGUACGAUCUGUUGCCCAGAGAGAAGCCUCUACCAUUGAGACAGGCCAUUGGAAGAUCAAGGAAAACUCUAUCAACACCUACUGACUACCCGGGUUCUGAGCUCAUAUUCAGCUACACUACAGACCCAUUUGGGUUUGCAGUGAGAAGAAAAUCCACCGGCGAAACCCUUUUCAAUACGACUUCCGAUGACUCAGACCGGUAUGGUAAUAUGGUGUUUAAGGACCAGUACCUCGAAAUUUCCACCAAAU